rnacentral:tRNA from 1 species
GGAGAGAUGGCCGAGCGGCUCAAGGCGUAGCAUUGGAACUGCUAUGUAAGCUUUUGUUUACCGAGGGUUCGAAUCCCUCUCUUUCCG